rnacentral:rRNA from 1 species
GACGAACGUUGGCGGCGUGCUUAACACAUGCAAGUCGAACGGAAAGGCCCUGCUUUUGUGGGGUGCUCGAGUGGCGAACGGGUGAGUAACACGUGAGUAACCUGCCCUUGACUUUGGGAUAACUUCAGGAAACUGGGGCUAAUACCGGAUAGGAGCUCCUGCUGCAUGGUGGGGGUUGGAAAGUUUCGGCGGUUGGGGAUGGACUCGCGGCUUAUCAGCUUGUUGGUGGGGUAGUGGCUUACCAAGGCUUUGACGGGUAGCCGGCCUGAGAGGGUGACCGGCCACAUUGGGACUGAGAUACGGCCCAGACUCCUACGGGAGGCAGCAGUGGGGAAUAUUGCACAGUGGGCGGAAGCCUGAUGCAGCAACGCCGCGUGCGGGAUGACGGCCUUCGGGUUGUAAACCGCUUUCGCCUGUGACGAAGCGUGAGUGACGGUAAUGGGUAAAGAAGCACCGGCUAACUACGUGCCAGCAGCCGCGGUGAUACGUAGGGUGCGAGCGUUGUCCGGAUUUAUUGGGCGUAAAGGGCUCGUAGGUGGUUGAUCGCGUCGGAAGUGUAAUCUUGGGGCUUAACCCUGAGCGUGCUUUCGAUACGGGUUGACUUGAGGAAGGUAGGGGAGAAUGGAAUUCCUGGUGGAGCGGUGGAAUGCGCAGAUAUCAGGAGGAACACCAGUGGCGAAGGCGGUUCUCUGGGCCUUUCCUGACGCUGAGGAGCGAAAGCGUGGGGAGCGAACAGGCUUAGAUACCCUGGUAGUCCACGCUGUAAACGGUGGGUACUAGGUGUGGGGUCCAUUCCACGGGUUCCGUGCCGUAGCUAACGCUUUAAGUACCCCGCCUGGGGAGUACGGCCGCAAGGCUAAAACUCAAAGGAAUUGACGGGGCCCCGCACAAGCGGCGGAGCAUGCGGAUUAAUUCGAUGCAACGCGUAGAACCUUACCUGGGUUUGACAUGGAUCGGGAGUGCUCAGAGAUGGGUGUGCCUCUUUUGGGGUCGGUUCACAGGUGGUGCAUGCCUGUCGUCAGCUCGUGUCGUGAGAUGUUGGGUUAAGUCCCGCAACGAGCGCAACCCUUGUUCACUGUUGCCAGCACGUUAUGGUGGGGACUCAGUGGAGACCGCCGGGGUCAACUCGGAGGAAGGUGGGGAUGACGUCAAGUCAUCAUGCCCCUUAUGUCCAGGGCUUCACGCAUGCUACAAUGGCUGGUACAGAGAGUGGCGAGCCUGUGAGGGUGAGCGAAUCUCGGAAAGCCGGUCUCAGUUCGGAUUGGGGUCUGCAACUCGACCUCAUGAAGUCGGAGUCGCUAGUAAUCGCAGAUCAGCAACGCUGCGGUGAAUACGUUCCCGGG